UAAACUCAAAGGAAUUGACGGGGGCCCGCACAAGCGGCGGAGCAUGUGGCUUAAUUCGACGCAACGCGAAGAACCUUACCAAGGCUUGACAUACACCGGAAAACCCUGGAGACAGGGUCCCCCUUGUGGUCGGUGUACAGGUGGUGCAUGGCUGUCGUCAGCUCGUGUCGUGAGAUGUUGGGUUAAGUCCCGCAACGAGCGCAACCCUUGUCCCGUGUUGCCAGCAGGCCCUUGUGGUGCUGGGGACUCACGGGAGACCGCCGGGGUCAACUCGGAGGAAG
rnacentral:rRNA from 1 species